AAGUGUCGUUUCUCUGUUCGGAUUUGGAAUGCUGUCUUCUCAUGGCUUGGGCUAACUAUCCCCGCGGCCCCGUGGCUAUUGUUCGAUUCGGUGAAAUCUUGGUGGGAUGCGGUUCUCUCUGAUAAUACACUCCCGACGAAGGCCCUCUCUUCCCUGUUACUUCUUGUGGGAUGGGAGAUAUGGAAUGAAAGGAAUGCUCGUGUCUUCAGGAGCAAAGCGGCGCCGGUGGCGAUUGUCAUGCGACGCAUCAAAGAGGAAGUUACUCUUUGGGCCACUGCAGGCGCUAAGCAUUUGCGCAAUGUAAUGCCGUGA
rnacentral:rRNA from 1 species